AAAGGAUGCGGCAGAUGCAAAUCGGCCGAUCGUGUGAGCAGGAUCGGCCGAUUUGCAUCUGGCGCAACCCUAAAUCUAAACAAUAA
rnacentral:sRNA from 1 species